UGCAAAGGGCCACAGGAACAGAGGAAAAAAAACCACGAUCCCUAUGGAGAGAGCAGGAGGGGAUACUACUUUAUUAAAGCCAGCCUUUCCAUGCAGGGGAAUGCUUCUCCUUCGCCACGCCACCCUGUCUUGGAGCCAGCCGACUAUGGACUGAAACUCCUACCCACUUGCAUGCUACAAGGGCAGAGAGACAGAACGCAGUUUCUUAAUCUUCUCCGCAGACGUCCUGGAAGACCUGACAAUGCCCACACUGCAGAACUUGGAGGAAAAGUUUCCCAGCAGGGAUCGAACUCACGACCGCCUGCUUGCAAGGCAGGUACUUAUGCCGCUGAGCUAAAUCCCCAGCCCCUUAAUGGCCAUUCUGACUUUGAGGAAGACCCAGAAGUUGCCUGAUGCCCAACCUGAAAAGUGUACAAAAUUAGUCAUUGUGAAUUUGUGGUCACCAGCACAGCCUGAACUGCAUAGCAAAAUCCUUUAUCAAAAGAAAAUGAGAAGAGAAGAGAAGAGAAGAGAAGAGAAGAGAAGAGAAGAGAAGAGAAGAGAAGGCUACACUUAUAAGUCCCACAGGUCAGGGAGUGGAUGUAUUUAUAUAGGUAAGGGAGUGUGCAAUUCAAUCCAUCACACCAGGGAGAAGGACUUGUAUAUUUAAAAGCAAAUAUGUAGUUAAAAGAAUGCGUAUAUCAACAGAAUGAAAGAACAUUUUGUUGAAAAACAGGUAAUAAUUCAGUUGAUCUGGUAGGUAAUGUUGUCACACUGCCAGCUAUGUUAACAAAUAAAAUUAUGGGAUAAGCCUCAUAUGACUUUUCAAAAAUAUAGGGCCUGUAAAGAAAGUUGAAGUUCUGGAAUCCAUUUGAUACUUGGAUGAUCAGUUAAGAGUAAUCCCAAUUACCUUAUAAUUCAGAUAUUUCACUCUUUAUGAAAGUGCAGUAAACAUAUAGGUAAAUUUUAAUCCAACUUCAUUUUUUAUAUUUUACUUAUUAAUCCUAAAAGAGUUAUUUUUCAAUGUCCUUGAAUCUUUUGUGGUGGAAUUGUACCGUAUUUCUAAAGCUGAUGCUUAAAAUUUUCCAUGACACCUCUGUGAGAAAGAAAAACCAUAAGUCAUAGUGCAACAGUGUCUCUGGGUGUGUAGACCAAUCAAACCUGGUAUAGUUAAUGUGCUUUAUAGUCUAUUUUGAUUCAGAAAAAAAUCCUGUCGAAGUAAACCAAACUCUUAGCAUACAUUUUAUUUAGCAUUAAUAUAGAAUACUUUCCUCCAUCAGAACGAUACCACUGAGUUAUAGCUAACAGCAUCGUUAAGCACAAAUAAUGAGGAGAUCUGUAUUAAUCUCUGAAAUGUGACUUUUCUAUUUGCUUACCUGAUAAGACAAUACUGAGAUUACAGUUUAUUCCAGUAACAAGUCUGCCUUCAGGUAGGUUUAUAAUCAUUGCCAAGCAUUACCAAGAACUUCAUUCAAAAGUUCUCAGUGCUGAAAUAUUGGCGAUGUUAAUAAACAUACUUUAGGAACUUUUCUGAUCAAUUGUCUUGUUUUGUGCUUUUUAUUAGUUUCUAUCAUUUUCACUGUUCUUUAUUACCUUGGAAGAUAAUUUUUUGAAUAAUGGCAUCCCUAUGAAGAAAAUAGGUUAGUUACCCAAAUCCUGAAAAUUUGAUGCUGAUAAAAUAAUUGUAGAGUCAGAACAAAGUUAACUUAAACAUAGACUGAGCACCUUUCUUCUUCAAAACAAAAUGGAAAUAAAAUAUUGAAACAUAAAACUGACCUUUAUAGAAAGUAAGUCUUAAUUUCUAGAAAGAUAAUUCAUCAGAAACAGAAAUCCAUAAUUUUAUAAGAAUUGCUUUUAAAUGUGCAUUUGUCCAACUGUGAAACACACACAUUGACGAACUGAUGAGACACAUAAUAAGUUUUAAUAAUUUAAUUAGGAAACUAUGCCAAAUAACAAUUUAAAAAUUAGAAGCAGAGUCAAUAAAUUAACUCAUUUGUUCAUCUACAAAGGCUUAUAGAUAAAAGAGCUAAAAUACAGCUUACUGUAAAGAAGCAAAUGAGAUAUAUCUUACUGCUAAAAUGAAACCUGACAAAAAAGGCUUUUUGGAUAAUAGGAUUGUUUCUUGAAGUGGUAUUUGAAUAUGCUUAAGCAAAUCGCCAUGCCUUGUGAUGAAUGUGAGGUUGGAUGGAAUAAUUUACUGAAUAGCGUGUUGCAAAAACAAUUUGUAAAUCAUGUUCAUGUUAGAUUUAUUUUUUCCAUUAAAAUAUAAAAUGCUUCUCAGCAAUUUUUAUUCUUCAUGAGAAUUAUAAUGUAUUGUGCUUUGUUGCAUUUUUUAUAUUUAACUUGAAUCUUAUUUGCCUGUUGUAUUUGACCUUGAA